UUGCUUCUUCGCUGACGAGUGGCGGACGGGUGAGUAAUGUCUGGGAAACUGCCUGAUGGAGGGGGAUAACUACUGGAAACGGUAGCUAAUACCGCAUAACGUCGCAAGACCAAAGAGGGGGACCUUCGGGCCUCUUGCCAUCGGAUGUGCCCAGAUGGGAUUAGCUAGUAGGUGGGGUAACGGCUCACCUAGGCGACGAUCCCUAGCUGGUCUGAGAGGAUGACCAGCCACACUGGAACUGAGACACGGUCCAGACUCCUACGGGAGGCAGCAGUGGGGAAUAUUGCACAAUGGGCGCAAGCCUGAUGCAGCCAUGCCGCGUGUAUGAAGAAGGCCUUCGGGUUGUAAAG
rnacentral:rRNA from 1 species